CCAAAAUUAUAAGCGUUCUUCCUCUCUCACCUGUAUCGAUUCAACACUCCAAAAAAAACAAAAAUCUCUUUCAUUUUUCUACUCUCUGUUCUUUUUUUUGGGAUUUUAGCUAAAGAUUCACUUCAAGAUUAUCAUCUUGCCAAAAUAUCAAAUAAGAUAAAAUGGGCCAACAUAAGAGGAAGAAAACCAUGUCACCUUGUCCUGAUGCUAGUAAAAAAUCUAGAAGCUUAGCUGCUGCUAGAAAACAACUUAUUGCACAUAAUAAAAGAGAUAUCACAUUAGUACAUAAGCUGACUUAUGAAGCAGCCCGAGCAAGUGAGACUCUUGCUUAUGCCCCUUUGGAGAUGGUGAUACCUUUAAACAAUGAGCAAUUGAUUGGUGAAAAAUAAACUCUUAAGAGUAGCGGUGAAAAGUCAGGUGAAGAGGAAAAAUGUGGUGAGAGUGCAACUGAGCAAUCAGGUGAAGAGGAAAAAACAGGUGAGAGUGCAACUGAGCAUUUGGGUGAAGAAGAAGAAGAUACAACUAUGGUUGGUGACAUGGGUGGUAAUCAAGUUAGAGAAAAAAUAAAUGAGAAUAGCACAUCAGCUAAGAAAUUCGAUGAGGAUUCGACGACAACUACAUUAGAAAGGAUAGAAAAUAGAAAAAAAAACAAUGACAAGAUCAAGAGGAUGCUAAAUCAGUAGCCGUUGCUGGAUCAAGUAAUGAUACUAGUGGUGGUGAUAAUUCAAAGGGUACUGGAUCAUUAGAUAAUAAUAGUGAUCCCAAUGCUCUUUUGGUUCCAGAAUGCAUGAAGACCAUUUCCAUUGAAAAGUAUGGAUUUAAGACCCACUUGAAUAUGUCUGGGCCUAUGAUUAAAGGAUCAAUGUGAGAGUCGGCUUUGGAACUCAAUUUGUUGAGUUUAGAAAGUUUUUGAUCGAUCAACGUAUUUAGUAUGGUUUCAGAAAAACUUGUAAAGAUGUAGCAGUACAUCUCCCAAUGAAGUUGGUGCACGACCUUCUUCUUCGCCGAAUUUUUUGUGAAAAGAAAAAGGAAAUUUGGUGUGAUUACAAUGGCUUGUCUAUUUGUUUCGGCAUCAAUGAACACUAUCAUGACUGGACUUCGAUCCCAUUCUCUCCCCCUUCUUAGUCAGCAGUUAGCAAAGUUGAAGAAAAGGGUACAAGUUUGGUAGAUAUAGUGGGGAAGUCUGUUGAUGGUGAUGGUCUCAUUGAGAAUAUGAAGGAUUCAAACUUGACAAAAAAAUAGAAGGUGGCUGUGAGUGUGGUUUGGUUCUUACAUAGCAUAUUAUGUGCAAAAGUUACAAAAAAAAAAAAAAAAAGGUAGACACCAAUUGGUUAAAAAUGGCGUCGAACCAAAAUGUAUUUGAUUCAUAUCCAUGGGGUCGAAUAAGCUUCAAUCUUACUAUUGAAUAUAUUUUAAAAGAAUUGAAUCCAACCAAAAACCAAUAUAACCUUUGAUGGUUUUGACUUAAAUUAUUAUUUUGAUUUUAUGUACACUAAACUGCAUUUUACUUAUUACAUAGGCUUGGGUAUUUGAAGCUAUUCCGGCAGUUCAACGGCUAGCUUAGGAUGCUUCACUUGAGAGUUCAAGACCAAGAAUGAUUAAAUGGUUGUCCGCCAAACCAUCAAGAAAGACUAACUCUAACUCGGCAAAUGUUGAUCCUCUUGAUCAGGCAAGAAAAGAGAUUCAAAAUCAGAUUGUGCACCCUUUUCUUUUUCCAACAAACAUAGAGAAAAGGAUGGAUUAUAUUUAAGAUAUUACGCCCUUUGAAGAUAGUUUGGAUCAAAACAUUGAUAUUUUAAAAAGCUGAGUUGGCA